AAGGGCGUAAUACUCGUAGAAGCUAGAAUCGAGAUGGGGUCGGUGAGGAGGGAAGGUGAGUUGGGAUACGCGGUCGGACUCUUCCUUGGCUAGCUGAAGAGAUUCCCUGGCGUUCUCCAUUUUGGGUCCUAUCUGAGCUCUGGCAGGAGUAUGGCAUACGAGUCCAUGAUUGUCUUCAAUAUAACGCAAUCACCCGAUUUGCUAGUCAAGGCCGUCCGAAGGCGCCGUUUGGAUUGAGGAAAAUAAAACGAAAUGAAGGGAAUGGGCAUCAGUGGGAAAAAAAAAAGGGUACAGGAAAGCCGUUUCUGGCUAAUAAAUGAAAGAAAUUGUAAAGUUUUUGCUUAGAUUAAGGAAGAAACGAAAAGAAAGAAAAACAUCAACUGUUACCGAACACAAAACUAUAUCCCAACAAAAUAAUUAGACUAUUUCCCUCCUCAGAAAUCAACAUAAAUUAAAAAAAAGAAAAGAAAAAACUAAUCCCCUCCAAUUCCUUUCGUUUUCUUUCCCUCCCAUUACCUCAAUCGAGAUUAUGCCAAAGUUUACAAGGUUUCUAGAAUUAUAAAAAACGAUGUUAUAAAAACAGAUUGACGGAUUGCAUCCUUCACGUGGUGUAUUGCUAAUUAAUCAUUUAAUAGUGAUUAGUCGUUGACAGACUAUUGAUAUUAGUAAUGUAUAUUGAACAUCUAAAAUUUUCCCUCUUAUUCAAUAUUUUUAUUUAUUAUUGGAUUAACUUUUUAUGUACUGACGGUUUAGUAAAAUUUUUUUUACACCAACGAAUAUGAAUGUAUAUCAUAUGUGCAUUAUUUGAAUUUUAAAAUUGAAUUCAUUAGCAUUUGACAUGUUUAAACCUACUAGUGUAAAAAAAAAAAUUGUACACCGAUAAUAUACGAAAAACUUUUACUCUUUUAUAUUUUUCCGAUUUGUUGGUUUUUCGACAUUAGUUGACCCUAUCAUUGGACAACACAGUUUCUACGUUGUCUCUCCCACUCUUCUCUUUUCAUCCCCAAAUAUCUUAUCCAUUUUUUUCCCAUUCAACCGCUUAGCCAAGUAAUUAAAAGUGCCAAUUUUCUAUGGGUCUGUCAAACAAGGGAGUAGGCAUUGGUUAAGAGAGAAUUUAUUUGUUGAUAUUUUAAUGUAACAUAAUAAUUAUUAGUAUGUGUAUUUAUAUAUGAUAAAUUAAAUAUAAUUUAAGUGUACUAACAAAUGCUACAUUAGAAAAAUCCGUCUUUUAUUUCUUUCCCUCUCUAGUGUUGUUAAGGUUGGUGUAAAUAAUAUAAUGGAUGGGAUGAAUAUCUGUGGUUUUUUUCCUAAGAAAAAAGCCAAUAUUAUUGGCAUCAAUAUUCCCCCUCCAACUCUUGACCGGUUUUAAAGUAGUACUACUUCUUUACCCAUAAAUUCUAGCUAAAGCUAUCUUCCCACAUUUCGUUGAUGUGGACCAAAGGUUAAGUUGUCCUUAAUAUCAAAUAUUAAUUAAAAGGAUUAAAAGAGGGAAGGUAGAGACAGGUGAGUUGUUGGGUGGUAUGCUGAGAACAUUAAUUACUCGUUGCGAAAUGUUAGCCAAGCAAUAAAUCAAGGAGAAGUUUCUGUUUCCCAAAAAGAAAAGGAAAACAUUAGUAAGACUAAACAGAGAUGAAUGUUAUUUGCACUCUAUUUUUUGUUAUUUGCAUUCUCAUAAUUUGUUUUAUAAUAUAGUUUAAUAAAUGAAAACUAUAUGAUAAAAAUAAUAGUGUAAAUGUGAUUAUCAAAAAUAAAUCAAGGGAAUUGAUGUUUCGAACUCCCUAUUUAGUUUCUUGCACUCCAAAUCACUCACUAAAAAUAGUCUUUAAAGAGUGCUAGAGGCUAAUUAAGAAGUGCAAAUAUUACUUUUCUAAAUCAAAGGUAUGUACUAUUUAAAAUGUAGUUUAGGUGUUAAAAUUUUGAAAAAAUAAAAUUAAUUAGAAUUAUGCACAAAAUGCAAGAGAGGAUGAUGAUUAUCGAUGCUUAUUCGCAUAAUUUGUUAAGUGUGAUUUAAAUGUAUUACUCCCUCCGUCCCACUUUGAUAGUCCUGUGUUCCUUUUUCAUCUGUUCUAAAUUGUAGUCAACUUUCCAAUUGAAGAAUGUAGUUGUAUUUUAAUUUUCCUAAAAUACCCUUAUUCAAUGUAAGUUGUCGUUACUAUAAACCUACCACAUUUAAUGAGAGUUGACUCUUUUUUUACCAUCAAUUCAAGUUCUCAUAAAAUUGUACUCUAUUUAAUGUGAUGAUAUUUUAGGAAAAUAGCAAUCUAAAUUUACUUUUCCAACAAAGUUAACUACUUUUUCUUAAAUUGUGUGAAAAAAGAAACAAGACUAUUAAAGUGGGACGGAGAGAGUAAUUAGUAUUCAAUAAACACUCAUUAGAAAAAUCUAUAAAAUCAAUACUUAAAAAAAAAAAAAAAAAAAUCAGUGUGCAAAUCCCAAGCCCCAAAGGCAGCACAAGGGAACCCCGGAUUGAGUGAGUGAGGGUUUAUCGAAGGAAAGGCCCAGCGUCUGUCUGUUCACACUUAGUCAUCCAUUCGUCUUCGGAUACCUUGUCUUGCAACUCUGCCAUUCUCGUUUUCUGCACUGUUACUUAUCACAGUACCACUACUGUCACCACACCUCUUAAUCUUGUUUUCUUCCAUACUUCUUCACACCAUUUCCGCCCCUGUUUGCAGCUCCACCUUCUAAAAAAUGAACCCAUUUCGGAUCACCCAUUUCCAAAUCCAAUGACUCGUAAUAAACCCGAAUUUCAAGCCCAUCCACCUCGUACCCGCCGCCUUUCCUCAUGUCACCUCCACCCGGCUGAUCCGGCCACCGGCAUUUGCGCUUCUUGCUUACGCGAGCGCCUCUGCGGCCUCGACUCUUCCGCUGACCUCCUCGAACCCUCUUUUUCUGCUGCAGUCAUCCCGUCUCUCGGCAAUGGCGACCUCGCCGGAGCUGGACCAGUUAAUUGCCUGAACAAAGCUGCAGCCGCCACGUCGUCUCCGGAGUUGCGCCGUUGUAGGUCUGUUUUUACUGCUAAAUGCGAAGCUUCCACCAGCUUCGCCGAGCCCAGGCGCAGGUCCUGCGACGUUAGGGCUCGAAACGUGAAAAGUCUGGCCCAUCUGUUUGAUGUGGACGAUGAAUGUAGUAAUGGAUCUAACAGGGAGUCCAAGGUUGAAUCCAAGAAUAUUACCACGGCUGCUGCUGCUGAGUUCGGAGAAGAAAUUAAAGUAGAAAAUGCAGGAGGAAACAGGGAUCCCCAUGUUGCAUUCAAUGGGGACGAGGAGGAGGAGAAGGAGGAUGAUUUGGAAGAAGGAGAGGUCAAGACGAUGAAAGAACACAUAGAUCUAGAACUGCAGAGCAAGGGCCAGAGGUCGAAAGAUUUUAAGGAAUUAGCUGGAAAUAUAAGGGAGGCAGCUUCUGUUUUCAGCAAGAAAUUGCAAAAAUGGAAGCAGAAGCAGAAGAAAAAGGUUCUUUAUAGCAAUGAUGGAGGCACUGUUGAUGGGAUUAAUUGUGAAGUAAAUGGUCCAAAAGGGAAGAAAUUGGAGGAAACUCAGUCUGUGGCUGCGGAUUAUGCAAUGGGCAGGAGAUCUUGUGAUACAGAGCCUAGGUUUUCUGUUGAUGCUGGGAGAUUGUCUGUGGAGGGCGGGCGCUUUUCGAUUGAUGAGCCGAGAGCUUCUUGGGAUGGGUAUUUGAUCGCUAGGACUAUUCCCAGGCUUGCUCCGAUGUUGUCAGUUGUGGACAAUGCGAUUUUAAGUGGCGGAAAUAGGAUUGAUCAUCAUAGAGUAUCUGUUGACGGGCAAAUGCAUUCGAUAAUGGAAGAUGAGACCAGUUCUGGAGGGUCAGCUCAGUCUAAUUCGGAUUCCUCGUCUUCUCAAAGGCGAAGUAGUUUUGAUAGGUCAAGCUCUGUUAGGAGUUUUGGGAAGAAGAUGGCGGUAUUGGAUGGGGAUUAUGCGAAGGCCUCUCCUGGAAGGCUGGUAAUUACGGAGAGGGAAUUGAAAGAUUGGCAUUUGAAUUCGAUCAAAGAUGAUCACAAGAAGAAAUUUGAAUCUUCUUCCAGGGAGAACUCUCCUGCUCUUGAAGAUAGAAGUAAUUUGGGGUCAAAGAAGCCUGUUAGGUGGCGAAGGGUGUUGAACGUGUUUGGUUUCAAGCAAAAGUCCUGUGAAAACAAGUUUGAAAAACCAAUGGGGGAUUGUUCACCUGCUCAGGCUUGUGAGAAGCAAGAAAAGGAGGCUGGUGAAGAAAUCAAAGCUGCCACUCAUUGGAAGCUUAUGAGGAGCAGUAGCAUUGUUGGUGCAAGACGUUCUUGUGAGGUGAUCAGGUCAAGUAAUGGUAUGAUGAGUCUUGGUGAUGAUUCUGACUGGGCCAACAGGAGCCGGGAAGAAUUUGUGCUGGGACGAAAUCACCGAGCUACAUAUGCUUCAAGCAAUUUGGAUGAUGGUGUUUUACCAUUUUAUUUGACACCCUUGAGGACUUCCAGGAACGGGAAAUCGAGAAGGGACAAGCUGCAAGACUCACAUUUUGUUGAUGGGAGUCUUUUACGGCUCAACUGAAUAUUAAAAUUUCUGAGUGCGCAUUGAGUUAAUACUAUGACUUUGUAAGGAUUACUAGUUGUUUCUCUUCUUGUUUAUGGGUGAUAGCAAGGCAGGACCAGCAUGUUGUAACUCUACUGUUUUUAGGCAGUAUCCAUGACAUAAUAAUACGAGUUACAGCAUUUUUGUGUCUUGGUUUUCCACAUGUUUGUUCCUUUUCAUUGUUGGGCUCUUAUUAUGCCUAAGAAAUAGUGAAAGUUACCAGCAGCAAUAUGUGCUUUGAUGACAUUUGUUAUUGUGUAAGAAUUACUCGGUACUAUAGAUAUCUAAAGUGCUCUUAUCAGCAGCCUCCGAUCCCCAAUUAUGGUGGCGCAAAUUUCCGGAGAAGUGCAGGUUCAGUGGCUUAUUCAGCCCCCUACUAUAUUGCAUCCCCCAUACUAAUGAAAAUUUUGCUUUCGAGGACAAAUUACAAUAGGCAUUUAUACAGAUGGAUUAAAAAAAUGUAGAUCUAGUGGAGGCGCGAGACUCGACUCAAAUAAAGAUUCGCAAUUUGCGCUUCUUGGCACCGGUUCUAAUGAAAAUCCAACUUGUUCUCCCCCAUACUAAUGAAUGAGAGUCAGAUAUAGCUUUCGAAAUUAAGCCUUUAAAAUGGCACAAUCGCCUUUCAGCUGAGACAUCAAAACGCACAACAACAAACAAGUUGAUAGAUAUGAAUGAACUUUACAUGCCUUCAAGAAAACUGAGUUUGGAAAACCUAGUCCUGCUUCAGCUAUUAUACUAUCUACAAACAAAGGAUGAACUCCACACACAAGGGCAUGGGGUGUCAUAAGAUCAGAAAGUUGCUUAUUGCAGCAUCAUCUUCGACCCAUCAGGUAUUUGGUCUUCACAUAUUUGGAAAUACUUGAGGUAACAUGAUUGGCCUGGAGCCGCUUUCUAGAUCCCUUGGCAGGAGGAGUCUCUUCCGAUUCAUCAUCUGUGUCAAUCCUUGAAGAGCCCAACCUGGUUUGUUUAGCUAUUCGCCGUAGAAUAUGUACAUUUAAGUAGUAAUUUACUAUUGUCUCUCUGCUUUGACAAGGUAAGUACUCAAGGGCGGAAUUGAUUAAACUCUGACCAAAAGAUUUGGCAUGUAUUCUCACAACAUCCUUGAACUUCUUCUGUUCUUCCAAAGUCCAUAACUUGGAAACAUCUUCUCCCAUGCUUUCAAAUUUCCAUUGCCAAAAGGCAGGCCCCAGAUCAGAUUGCAGCUGGAUUUUCUUAGCAUUGAUGUGCUGUCUAACGCAUUCAACAGAUCCAGGGGAUACACAUGAACAAGACUUGGGUCUUCCUUUUCCGAUCACAUCUCCAGAGACUUCCAGGCUUCUGCCUUUAGUUGGCCAUACCUUGAUGCUUAACCACUUUGAACUGCGAGAUUUCCUGUGCAUGUUGUGCUGACCAUUCUUGUGUAGGGAAACAGGCAAAGCUGGCAGAUCAGCCUGAAAACGAGGUCCGACUGGAAUUGCGAGUCUGAGACUAUCAUCACAUAUGUACUCUAUCCAACCUUUAGGAACUGGAUCGUUCUCCUUCUGGAUAUGGAGUUCCUUUGAGGGCUUCAUUUCUUCGUCCUUCUGAAGACAAUCAACAAUGAGAAAAAUGCUCCAAAGGGACUGGCAAUCUCAAGUACUUUGUAGGUGUAGGUACACAAGCAAAUAGAUGCAAGAUGCUUGAUACUGCUAAGCACGUUCGUUAGUCUAGAUAAAAUAGGACAAUGCACAAGAUGAACUCCAACGAAUUGCUAAUUUGAACUAUAGAAUUCAUGAAAAGAAUUGUGCAAGACUCAGUGCAUUCAUGCAAUAAAAGACACAUCAAGCACCAUCACCUGUCAUUAUUUUUAACCAGUAAAGCAAGGGGAAGGAACCUGUUCAAGAUGGAGAAGAUGAUAUUAGCAAGCGAAUAGCUUCUUCGGAUUGCACGAUUCCACUCUCCCAAUACUGUGUGCUGGGGGAGGCUGUAAUGCUAUUGAUUAAAAUUGAUUUUAUGUCAUCGUAGGCCGCUAAAUUGUACAGAAAAGAAAUACUACUAUCAGUUAGCAAAUACUACAUGCAGACAACAGUUUUCAAAAGCACCUCAAAGACACAGAGCUAGCGAUUCAGCAAAAUAGCUUUGCCUUCCACCAAAAGAAGGCGUUGCUUUGCAUAAGCAAUUGAUUUUGGUGACGACAAUUCAUUGCUUCUCCUCCGAAAAAAAAAAGGAGAGAAAAUAGUUCAUUUAUCUUACAACACAAAAUUUCAAGAAGCCCACCAAGCUUGUACUCUGUUUAUGGAUUCCAGCCAAUAAACGGAGGCCAACAAGAUUCUAGCAUGAGAUUGAAAUUAUCUGUUACAAGAAUAUGCGGGGAAAUAAAUAAAAUCAAAUGAAAUAAAAAAAAACCUCCAUUUUGCUGGUAAUUGCCGUUUACGUUUAGAUGGUCGGAGCAAUCUUCAUUGAAAACAAGAGAAGCAAAAAUUUUGCUGAAUCGCUUAAGCUUCAAUCUACCCAUGCAUGAAUUGAAUAACACAUUUCUAGUGUUGCGAAUUCUACACAACUUGAAUUGAAUUCGAGUUAUCCAUUUACCGGUGCACCGGGAAUUAAUAUUCAAGAAAAUUUCUGAUAUAUGAAAUUAAACCCUAACCCUGGAUAUCGGCUAAACAGAGCGUCCGAACCGAUAUUAGAGGAAUUUAGGAUUCAAGAAGGAAUUGUAUUGUUUCAAUGAUUUUUUUUUGGGCUGUCAGACUGCAUAUUUUUUUCAUUUUGUUUUAAACGGAUAAAUAGUAUUUAGCAAAUUUCUUUAUUCUUAGACCAGAAAUAUCCGCAAAUAUUUCAGCUAAAAUCUCUAAAACGAAUAUCCAAGGAAGAAAAUUACCAACAAAAAAAUGGUUACUAGGAUUAACUAAUUUUGAGUCAUAGAAAUUAAUUUUUUAAUUUAUAUCCAAAAAAAUUGGGAAUUUUUAUUUGUAAAACUUAAAUUCUUUUGGGAGAGGGAAAUGGAAUGCAAAUUAUGGUAAAAUGAUUGAAAGUAUAACAAAUACCUAAAAAAAAAUACCAAUAGAUAAGCCUCUUCUAAUGCUUUGAUCUUCUUCGACAAUUUUUAGUAAGAAACAAUUGCCUGUCUUAUGCCUCUGAUUCUUGCUAUUAAAGAUGAUACAACAACAAAUAAAUGAAGACAACUAUAAUGUGAAGGAAAAAGGUGACAAAUAGCUUUUGGAGAAAAGGAAAUUGACUAGUAUAGUACUUUUCCAAAGAGUCCCUAUAAAGAAUGGAGUUUGGGAACACACACCUAUAUUGUUAUGGAGAGGUUGAACACUUAAAGAUGCAUGUUGCUCUUCUCAAGCAUAGCCCUUGCAAUAUAACAAAUGAGAGUUGUGGGAAGCUAGUUGACACAAUAUAUAGGUGGCAAGUGAGGACUUGCAUCAUCCCUCAAAGCCAAUCAACUCAAUUCUCAGGCUUUAAUAGUUCAUUUGAAUUACUAAAUGAGAUGGUAGCCCAUUAAAGAAGGGCCUUUAGAUUUACAUAGAUCCGAUCUAGAGACCUACUUAUAGACCGUGUAAUUUAAGAGAAAUUCACCUAUAAGAAGUGAUUUAAAAUCACGAUAUUUUAAAUAAUAGAUGCAAAUAUAAAAUUUCUAAAAUCAAGAAGAUGAGCUAUCUUUAGUUUAUGACUGUCGCUUAAAUAGGACUUUCCAAUCGAAUAGCAUAUGGUCACAGUGAUGUAUGACAAUGUAAGAAAAGUGAUAGUAAAUAUUAAAGUCUGUCUAAUGGGUGCUUAUAUCACUAAUAUUAUUUUGAAAAUUACAUACAUUAUACAAAUCAAAAUUGUCAUUGGAUAUAGGAUUUUAAAAUCUAUAAAUAAGAUAUCGAUGUAUAUCCCUAAAAUUUUAGGUAAGAGAGAAAAUAAUAGUAGGUUUUGGAGGUUAAGCAAGUAAUAUAAUACAAAAAUCCAAUUGAUUUUUUUUUAUUAUAAAAAGCAGACUUCAUUAACAAAUUAUUGAAAAUCGUCCAGCGUGAUUUGAUCUAUAUCUCUACCCUAAUGGUAGGUUAAACAUAAAAAUUACAAAUCUGCAUUUUAACAAAUGCAAUAGAUCCAAAAAAAUUAUGAACAAAUCUAAAAAAUAAAAGAAAUUUCAAAAUUGUCUCUAACAGAUAAAUCACUGUAGCUCCCUACUAUGUAUAUUCCAAUCACUGGGUUUAUUAAUCAAUGAUUUUAAACUCUAAUAAUAUGAUGCGAUCUGUCGAAUUAGAUCCAAAAUUCCAAAAAUAUUUCAGAUUUGACGACCAAAUCUGAAGUAAAUUAAGAUCUAAAAAUAAAAAAAAAGAAGAAAAACACAAAAAUCUCCAUAGUAAUCUAUAGGAGAAUAGAAAAUUCUCACUUAGAAUUUCUAGGAGAAAUAGAAAAGCUUCAUUAAAAAAAAAUUCAGGAAAGAGUUUAUUAGAAAAACAAAACAAAACAAAAUGAAAUUCAUGGGAAGGAGACCAUCACGUGAUCUCCCUCCCUAAGGGAAUGUGUUUUAAGAGAGGAGGGGAAAUUGGGAAAAGUUGAAGAAGAGGAGAGGUAGAAAGAAAAGGGUUGAUUUCUGAUAAGAUAAACAGGUUUGCAAAAAUCCAAUUGAUGGUUGAGGAUUGUAUAUAAAAUUUCCAAACUAAGAAGAUGGGGGAAGGUUAAGUUGGGUGGUAAAACGGAAAAGAUUGUAAAUAUAAGGUUCUAAAUUCAAAAUCACAUUUUAAAAAAAAAUAAAAUAGAAACUAGGAAGAUAACUGAAUAAUCUUUCCCAAUCACUUAUAUAUUAGCAAAAUGAUAAGAAUAAAAGAAAAUUUAAAAGUACCCGUUUUCCAUGGGUUCUUCCAUUGAUGGGCUCAGUGUCUAUAGAAUAAAUUUUCUUCGCUAAAUUGCCUUUUCUUUUUUGCUUUUGAUCCAUCGCCAAAAUGAAAUUGUGCUGCAUAAUAUGCAUGGAGUGGGUCAAAUUAAAUGAGUUGGUAUAUUGAGUAGCUCGAUAAUUAUUCGAUGUCUCUUUUUUCUAUUAAAGGAGAUGGUCAAGUCUGCAUUCCAUCAUACUAAUAUUUAUUUUUAGUACAACAUUGUUACAAUUAAUACUAUAAUGGAAAAAGAAGACGGAGAUGAACCUAUCUAAUUUAUUAAAAUGCUUUAUGAGAGUUAAAUAACUUUCGAUCAUAUGCCAAAAAAUUCUGAAAAGGAAACACAAUUAGAGGGUUUGACCCCUAAUCUUCGCCCACGGGGCAUGGAGGGACUUACUUAGUCCCUCUUCUGGUGGCCAUACCAAUCAAUGUACCUACUAAUCAAGACAUCAAAAGAAAGGUGGGGAAGAAGGAUAUUGUCUUUGACAAAAGGCGCCAAAUUAAGUGCGUGAAUGCGCAGGAAAAUGAUUCAUGGUAAUGUUUGCUAUUUAGUUUAUUUUACAAUUAUAUUUUUUUCUUACAUGGACUUACCAAGAGUGAUCAUUCUUGAGGUAAAAAGACAAUAGCAAUACGCUUUCAAAUGUCAAAGGGAAGGAAGGUAAAAAAAGACGACGUUGUGUUUGUCGAAAUUAAAACACUUGUUGGUAAUAUUAAUACGUGUCACUCAAGUAAUUUAGUUUUUCUUAUACGGAAUUCACAUAAAAUUGUCAUUCUUGAAUCAAAAGCAAAGUAGGAAUUGGUUUGUAAAAUUAAAAAAAAAAUAUAGGGAAUUAAAUCUGUGUAAAUUUAAAUAUUUAAUUGAUUAACAGGGAUGAUAUUUUGGACCUAUAUAAAUUUCACCUCAUUGAAUAAAUCUGAGAAACUUUCUAAGCCAAUAUACAGAUUGGAAGCCAAUUCACUAAAUGAAGAUCUAUUAACCACAACCAACCAAAAGAUCCAUGGAAAACUGUAGGGCACAACGUUUAUUGUGCUCAAAUCUGAUGACUUAAGAGGGUUUUUGGAGCUAGUCACUAUACUUUUAUACGGUUUAAUUAGUUAAACCUAUCAUGGUAGUUGUGGAUUCUACUCAAAAUUUAUUUAUCAUGAUCAGAUUUAAUUUAUGCCUCAUAUUGUUUACAUUUCAGAUUAUGUACUGUACUGACUAAUUGGACUAUUGAACAAAGAAAUACUCUUUCUCUCAGACUUGACACUAACAUGUCAAGCGAGAACCAAACCCCUAAUAAAGCCUCUUAUCAACUUCUGACUCGACCAUGAAUCAGUUCGGAACCAACCAAAAUUCAUCCAAUUGGAUCACUCAACAACUAUACGAGUAAUAUAUUCUGGGCAUUUAGAUAAUUCUUCUAUAUAUCCUUGGAAUAUAUUCUGGGCAUUCUAUUAAAGCACAAGGUAUCAUCCAAAGAUUGCUAGAAAUGAAAAGUACUAAAACACGUACCAGCAAAGCAGCUACAUAAGAUUUACAUUUCCUGGACCAAUGCCGUAACAAGUACAACAACUCUAGUAAUAACAAUUCCGGUACUUCUCCUGAAUUGGCAAGAUCAGCUGCACCAAUUGCACCCUUGUGUCAAAGUCCAUGUGCCACUACUUCUCUUCUUUGCUAUGAGAAUAUGGGCAGUUGUAUGACAUUCUGUCUAUAUACUACAAUACAAGAAAAGUAUACUCCAAACUAAGUAUCCAGUUUCCAGCCUGUUAUGUGCGAAACCACUCGGAGGAUUGUUCCCUGCCUCGUGAGUUUCAUCGCUUCCCUGUCAAGUACUUAUUCUGGGUACCAUUAGCCUUGGAGGUUUCUCCAAUAACCUCGUCAUCAUCAUCGUCUGUGUCAAUUUCAGCCGCAGUACGGUUCAACCUGGUUCUCUUGCGAAUUCUCCAGCUGGGAAGGUAAAAAUUAAAGUAGUAGCUGACUAUGCUUGCUCUACUUUUGUUGGGCAGAAAUUGACUGGCCAGCUGCAGAAAAGUUUUACGCGUUGAUGAGGGAAGGUUCCUUUUCUUCAUCACAGAGUUGAACCUAAGCAUAUCCCCUAAAGUCCAGGAAUCAGUAGAAUCUUCUCCCAUCUCAUCAAAUUUCCAGGUUUGAAAAGCAGGCCCCAAUUCAGCCUUCAGUUUUCCUCUUUCCUCCACCAUAUGACGAUGAACACAGUCAACAGAUCCAGGCAUUUGGCAAUUACAAGCAUCCCCCUCGUGCGUCGAACUGUUGUUCGUCUCUUGGCUAGGUUGGUUUGGUUCAUUUCUUGACCAUAUCUUCGUACCAAACCACUUUCGAUUGUUUGGGUUGCUGGCGUACUGGUCCUUAGUGGACAAGAUAGGCAAAUAAGCUUGAAAUGGAUCUUUUUUGGGGAUUUCCUCGUACUCUGAUUCGUUAGCUACCUCCGGGAUUACCUUUGGACCUCCUGAUUCAUUCCUAAUAUAAGGGACUACCCCCCGCUCUUGCUGAAUAAAAUUUAUCCAAUCCCUUUUGCACUCCUUGGGGUUCUCAACUUUGAGUAGUCGCUUUCGCUUCUGUUUACUUGACAUGCUGGUCAUUUCAAGUCACCAACGAGGGUGUGAGACAUAGAGAUGUUCCAAUUAGAUCCGUGCGGUUGGAUAUGAAUCAAAAUAUUGUAAUUCGUAGUUCUGACGAAUGUACCUGAUGAAGUCCAGGAGAUGAAAGACUGAAUUGGUUCAGAUGGCAAAAGUUAUUGGAUCCUGGUAUUCUGCGUACAAGACGACAGAAACAUAGGAAAAGAAUAAAGGAUUAGCAAUGUUCUACAGACUUGCGAAGGAGGACAAAGCAAAACGUACAGGAGAUGUAAGACACAUGAUAUUCAUGGAAAAAAGUCGCAAGUAAAUGCAUAUUUUGCUUGCAUGUCGAUUAAUUUGACAUGUCAACGUGUACAUCAGCACUCGAUUCUUGCUCCCUAAGUAAGAGCGUUCUAAUCUCUGAAUAUUAUGCAAAGGAAAACAAUAAUUUCUUAAGAAAUUCUGUAAGUCUGAUGACCGAAAGUUACAAUAAAAUUAUAAUGCUCAAUAUGAUAGCAACUGCAAUCUAGGAAAUGGACCAUAUGAAGAAGACGAAGGAGUACAUUUCUUCAACUUUCAAUAGUUAUAUCUCCAAAAAAUAAACAUAAAAAAAAAGAAAAUUUCAGUAAUUAGAAAAUUAAAAUUGACCGAAGUGCCUUUGAUCCAAAAAUUCAAUCAUGCAAACCAAACUAGAAGAACAUACAUUUAUAAUAUGGUAAUUCAGUUACCAAAUCUAACACAUUUUAGGUUGUGAUUUUUUUCAGAAAAAAUUCAAGAAUAAGAAAAUCUUGCAAGCCCGCUAAGGAAACCUUGUACUCCAUCUAUUUUUCUCGUCUCUACCAUUAUAUAAUAGAGUGUGUUUGGAUUGUAAAUUAUUUGAGAUAUUUUUAAUGUAAUAUUUUUUGUGAUGUGAUGUAUGUGAGAUAAAAAAGUAAUUGAGAAGAUCAAAAAGUGUAUUAAAAAUUGUAAUGGUGAUAUAAGUAAAUAAAUUUGAACAAAUAAUCUCCCGACCAAACACACUAAGAUUCGUUCCUGCUCUGCAAAAGUCAUCCGAAACUCAAGGCUAAUUUUGGCAUUUUAUUGGUUGAACCAGCUCCAAGUACAACCCUAUAUUGUAUAUUCCGCAGGCCGCAAAGUAUAGAGCUGUAAUCCAAGUAAAUAAAACAAGAAAAGUUUAUAUUAAAAAAAAAGAAAAGGAACGGUGAUAAAUUUUGUUUUUCCUCUUUCUUUUCUCGAGCCCGCCAUUUUUCAAAUUCAAUAUCGAAACAAAAAUACAAAAAAGAUAAUCGAGAGAGUUCUCCGAGUCGUUUCAACCAAAUAUUACCCGACAUUAACGAAAAUACCAGCAGAAAGAAAUAUUACCUCUCCAAUACAAACAGAAACCUUUCGCCUGAGAAUAGUCUGCGGGUUCUGCAAUGAAGAAUGGUAAUAGCCCAGUUCCUCUGUAAUGUCGUUGAAAUCUGACGUUCUCCUCUUACUUGUUGUCUUUACCUCUGUUUUACAGCUGGAAUCUGACUGUUAUAAUUCGUUUUUAGCGUCUGUGGUAGAUUUCUGAUCUCGUUCUCUCCUCCGAAAACGCAAAUCUUCAGAAGAAGAUGAUUCGGUUCUCUGAGUUGAAGAUUCAAUGCAAAAGAAUCAGAUAUAAUAUCGAUUCCCAUUCAAGAUAUAGCAGGUUCUCUAUUAGAUUAUGAUUUUUCAGCUGUUUUCUCCAAAGAGAUGAAGAAACUCAAGGCCCUAACCGCAAAUUUAUUGCGAUUUCAUGACUUUCUGAUCGAUGAAAUCUCCAUAUGAGAAUCGAAUGAGUCGUUGUCUUGAAAUUGUUAUGAUCACGAUAUUCAAGAAAAUAACCGAGUUUUCAGAUAAUUUUCGUAAAGUUUGAGGGUUGAGGAAAAUUUUUGAGCAAUUAAAAGAUGCAGAAGAUAAAAGAGUAGAAGUAAAAUGUAUUUUAAUGGAAGGUUAAAUUAAAGGAAAAAUUGGCUUACCUUAUUUAUAUGUGACGCAGGGGAUUCCCUUGCGCUCGCUCCCGCUUACGCUUAGUUUGAUUCAUAUAGCUUUAGUUUGAUUCAUAUAGCUUGUUGACGACGAAUCAAUACUUAAUGAGCUAAUGCUGUGGGUAAUUGUGAAAUAAUAAAAUAAAGUCGUAAAUAUUGUCCUAUUUAUGGACUAUAUGAUUUACUUGUUUCAGUCAAUCAAAAGACACCUGCAAAUGAUUUAUGAACUGUAUGAUUUACUUGUUUCGAAGAGUCAAAAGACACCUGCAAAUGGCACUGCUUUAAAAGAGAGAUGUUAAUGACAUUUCUUUAUUUGUUAAUGACAAUCUAUUUGACCUUUUCAGCGUGUCAAUUGAAAAUUUUUUAUUGAAUUUGCAAUGCAUCUUGUUUUUAUCAUGAGAAUGUUUAACUUGUCAUUAGAACAGCAAUGUAAAUCAAAUCGUAUUAGACGAUUUUCAGUAAUUCAUUAAUGAAAUUUGCUUUUUAUCAAAAAAAAAUCUGAAAAAAAUCAAGAGGAGUGUCAUUUUAAAAGCACUAUCAUUUGCAUAUCUACGAGUCCAUUAAUAAACCCGAUGAUAUAUCCAAGUGCCUUGUGGUCAUUGUGAUUUAUAUAAUGAUGCGUAGAAAUUAGCGAGUGAAAUAAGAAAAUCAGCCUGAGUAUAGCACAUAUUUACCCGAGUACACCACCUGCCAACCUGUAAGUAUUUCCUUUCUUUGGAUAGGUUUUUUCAACAUACCAAAUGCACUUAUCAUGAAGUAUGAAUCUUCUAUACCAAACAGCGAUUUGGAUUAUCUGCUUGUAUUGCCUCACAUCCCAUUUCAAUCACACUAAUGUUGAGAACUUAUUUCCUGUUUGGAGUUGGAUGAGAAGGAUUGAAGAUCAAUAGGAGGGGUAAAAUAAUACACGAAUAGUUUGAUGGGAUAAGGCUAUGAAUUAGAAUGUAUCACCACUUAGGAUCCGGUUCAUUGCGGUUGUCGCAGAGGGCAUUUGAUGGCUAGCCUGAUUCGAGCUGUCAAAUGCAUGGUGCGAUUGCUCCUGCAACUGCACAAAUCCUAUUACUUAUCGACCACAAUGAGCUCAACUUAUGCAUAUGCUAGAAUUGGGCAAGGUUUUCUUAUGUAGGAUGGAGGACACGCAAAAGAAAUGAAGCAUUAGGGAAACUCGUAAUGCUCUUUGGUGCCCAAAUAAUUCUUGUGCACGGCCAUAUAUGUACGCAAAGAUGCUAUGCAUAAUUCAUAUUCAGUCGAAUGCAGUAGUCUGGGACAAUCUUAUCACAAGCACGAAAUACUCAAAUCGAGCAAAUAAAGCUUCAAUGAACACAAUUGUAAUUCAAAUUCAAGGCUUCAAGCAGCGUUUUCUUGAGGAGCAUUGGCUGAAAACAUAGGACUUUUCAAAUAUGUAAAAUGAGCAAUGCCACAGGCAAUAAUUACUCAACAUCAAAGCCUUUUUGCUGAAGCUCAGAUACGACUUCAUUCUUCAUCCUCAUCCACAGCUUAAAAGCCUCCUGCUCAAACUUCUUGUCCUGCAAAUUCUUUUGAAAAUUGAUCGAAUCUUUAUCUGUUUCGAUGAUGCCUUUCGGCCCAAUUGUAGUUCCAAUCAUCCCACCCUUAGCAAUGAACUCCUCCAUUGCCUCCUUGUCACCUGGAUAUGGAAAAUUUGGGCGCUCGUAGAGAUGGGCUAGCUCCUGUUCCUCCUUAGGCUGGGGCUUUAAAGUCCACCAGCCAAGCGGUGACGUCUCGUUCCACAGCCAAGCUACGCCAAAAAGCGUGUAGGUGCACAACAAUGCCUUGCCUAUUUGCUUCCAGAAGUGAUAGUCUUCUUUUCCUAGCCCAACUUUCUUCAAAAAGUUCUCGGCGUAAAACAGACCUGAAAGAGAUUCAUGCAUAGAUUAGAAGUAUGCAGCCAAUUGGUUGAGGCUUUUCGUCGAACGACUUGUGUCAAUUACCCAUGUACACUGACAGAUAAUAAAUGAAACCAUAGAAAUAAGCAGGAACUUAUACCUGCUUCAUUUUUUAAAAAUAUCUUGGUACCGAAAGAGAAUUGGCACGAAAAUUUGCAUUUUACCUGUUCUCGUGUCCUGAAAUCGUUUGCGAACCAUUGAUGAAAGAGCUCGAGAAAGAGAGCGUCGGGGUGUUCAGGAGCGAAAGCUGAAUAAUGCAACUGGUAUAUACGGUCGGUCUGCUUUUGGGUUUCGUGGGUAAGAGUCUAGUGAGUAUCUUUUUUUUUUUUUUUUUCGACACAGGGAUGUCCAGGUCAAUUCUUACGGGGCCCGACUAAUCCCCUGCGACCCGGACCCGGCGCUCCAACCCGGCCCGAACGCGUUAAGUGCACGGAGGAAUCCAGCGGAGCGGAGACUUAAACUUGUGACCUCAAGGUUCACUGGUGAGAGGCGCUGCCGCUGGACCAUUCACGCGGGGGCUGUCUAGUGAGUAUCUAGCCUAUCAAUAUUUUAAGAUUGUCAGAAAUUAAUUAGGUCUUUCAGGAUAGAAUUGGUCUAGAAAUUUUUAUUUUUAUUAUUUUUUAAAAAUGGUCAUGAAUAAUUUCAUUUCAAAGCAGCGCCUAAUUACCUCAAGAAUCUUGAAAGUCACGUCCAAAAAACCACGUAAUCAGUGAAUCUUUAUUCAUAUACCUCAAGUCUUAACGUACUUUUGUUAGCCCUAUAUCAUUGUUUUUAUUUUUUUAAUUCCAAAAUCACUGGGUUACGGCCUUGACGACCUUCAAAGAUGUGUGUUGCUUAAGGAAUAAGUGAGGAGUAGAACCUUGUUUUUUUUUUCCCUAACGAUAACAGUUAAGCAGGAAACUUUUGACUUGGACCAUUUAAUGUAGUAAAAACAAGCUAAAAGUCUACUUUGACCCAACCACUUGUUUUACAUCAUAUAUUGCCAUGCAAACCUGUCAAGAAAUUGCUGUAAUCUUGUAAUUUGUGAUAUCCCAAUAAACUGUUUCAUCUAUGCAAACAAACAGUCAUUGAAGAACAUAUGUUUGAAAUUCUCAACAACUCUGACGGAUGCAUCUUUCUGCAGUGAGGAAACUUGCCACCUUGUAUACCUCAUCAGCGAAGAGUCCCAACUGGUUUUUUGUACGUGUACCACUUUGCAAUGAGGAUAUAAGCUCCCAAAUUCAGCACGCUUAGCACAGCCAAGAGCCAGAAGAAGUAAUCGGUGUGACCGCGAUUAAGAUUAUUCGGUAUCCAACCAGGUUUUCCAUUCUUUGUGCUAAUUCUUGUCACAAUGGUCACAAGCAAGGAACUCAAGUAGUUUCCCAAGGCAACUGUGGUCAGGGAGAGAGCAACACCCAAACUUCUCAUGGCAUCAGGUGCUUGCUCAUAGAAGAAUUCCAGCUGUCCAAUGAAUGUGAAAACUUCUGCACAACCUAUGAUGAAAUACUGAGGCACCUGCCAAAAUAUUGACAUGGGUAUCUCUUCAAGAUCAUAGGAGUUAUGUCUUUUCACAUAGCGUAAUCUAACAAGUUCCAAGAUCCCUGCUGAGAGCAUGGCAAAGAUCGAUAUGAGGAGCCCGAUUCCCAUUCUCUGAAGCUGAGUCAAGCCAUUUUUGUGACCUGUGAACUUUCUGGCAACCGGGACAAUAAUUCGGUCAUAAACAGGAACCCAGAAUAUGACACUCAGGGUGUCAAAAAUCCCAAGUGAUGCAGGCGGGAUUUGGAAGGUAGAAUGUCCCACAUAAGUAUUCAUCGUUUCUCCUUGUAAGACGAACAGGGUGCUCAUUUGACCAUACACACUGCUGAAGAUGAUACCUGUUGCCCAUAUAGGAAGCAAUCGUAUUAUGGCUUUUAGCUCCUCAACUUGAGUCACCGUACAAAGUCUCCAAGGAUCUACAGAGCCCCUUUUAUAGUCAGAUUCCCUCUCAACGGCUGCCUUGUCAAAGAAACUGUUUAGGAUAACAUUAUACAAUAUUUCAGUUUUGAAACAAUGCAAGGGGCAAGCAAGCAGUUGACACGGCAAAGGAGAUUGUUCAAGAUUAAAUCACGAAAGGCUUCAUUUCAGCCAUUGGUUUUGAAAGAACUGUAAAAGUACACAAGACGUGUUAACUGCAAAUAUAUUUCUUAUAUUACAUUUGAAGUGAUGAUUCCUAUAGAACUAUUCAAAAGAAGGUGUUAUGCCUUUGACCAAAUGAAUAAGGUGUUAUGCCUAAGCAGUGUCCGUUCCUUUCUUGUCAAGUUUCCGAGAGGUAGAGACUGUUUGUUUUUAGCCAUUAAAAGAAGAAGUUCUGAAACCUUAAAAAUGACUACCCAAUAAAAAUUCUUAAUUCUUUAGAAAAUUUGAGUAUGUGUGUAUAUAUAUAUAUGUUUAUAUAUAUACAUACAUAUAUAUAUGAAUAUAUAUAUAGGUUUAUAUAUAUACAUACAUAUGUAUAUGAAUAUAUAUGUGUGUAUGUAUGUAUAUAAUCAAUUUUUUCCCUGAAAAUUGCAUAGUUAUCCAACGUAACUCCACUUUUUCCAUUCAAUACUUCAAAAAAGUACCAUCAGAUAGAUGACUGGCUAAGAACCAUUUAAUGAUCCUUUGAAUAUCUUUUGAACUCAAUCUUGAAAGCAAGCAAAAAUUAUCAAUCAAGUUUAAAACCACGAGGUAGGCAGGAUGAUAUGGUGCUUACACAAGAUCACUAGUAUGCCCAAGCUUCCGACUUCCUUCUAUUGCAGAUUCAGUAUCUUUGCAUUCAUACAACAAAGACUUGUCUUCAGGCACUUCAACUUUAUACUUCUUGAAAGAUGCAACAAGCACUUGGCACAAGCGCGUCAAAGGGCUUCCUCCUGGUUUUUGGUUACGAUACAAUCGAGAACCUGAAAAGAAACUAACCGCAGCAAUUGCCAUUGUUACGGCUGGAAUGCCAAAUCCCCAUCCCCAACCCACAUUAUCUUGUACCCAGACCAGCACUGAUGAAGCAAUAAGUCCACCAAUGUUGAUUGAAAAAUAGAACCAAUUAAAGAAAGAAGCCUUGUGCUUCUUUUCAACCUCAUCUGUGUCAUCAAACUGAUCGGCUCCAUAGGAAGAUACACAAGGCUUUAUACCACCAGUUCCCAAUGCUAUGAGAUAAAGAGCUAAAAAGACAACAGAACUCUGUGUUCCUGUUGCAUGGCAAGAUUCCUUUCCAUGACAGGUUGGCUUCAGACCGGGGAUUGAGGCUGAUAAUGUCAACAAUGUCAUCCCCUGCACAUCAAAUGGUUAUCAUUUUUGAAGCUUGUUAACCAGAUCAGAAUGUAUUAAGAAGACUGGAAAUUUUGAAAUCAUUUAAAUUUUCUUUCUUAUAAAAUCUGUAUUUCUUUAUUAGAACAUUUCAUCUGUCUAAUUAUUGAACUAAACAUGGGUUAUUGUGCUUGCUGGAGUUUGAUGAUAAUUUACCAUGUAUAGAACUAAGAGAUUGCAUUUCUCUACAUUGAUGAUGUGGCCCAAAAUACACCAUGAAUCAAGGAUAGGCAGAAGUAGACCAGACAAGAAAUGGUUGUGCCCCAAGUUACUCCGCUUUAACGUUAACUUCUUACCUACGUGUACCAUGUAAUUUUAUCUAAUUUCUUUAGCGCGAGUCAUGCCUACCUAAGUUGCAAAAGAAUUUGUGCAUAUACAUUUCAGCCGAAAAAAGAUUACCAGAACAUAGAUGAUUGAGAAACAAGCAAUUGUCCAAAAUCUUCCAAGAUAUGCAUCUGCAAAAAAUGCUCCAAUUAAGGGUGUGAUAUAGCAUGUCCCAGACCAAUCAGAUACAUUUUUAGAAGCAGUGGCAUUGUGCUGUCCAAGUCGAUGCUUGAAAAAUAGCACCAGAUUAGAACUCAUUCCAUAAUAUGCCAAUCUUUCACAACAUUCAUUUCCUACAGUAAAAAUCAACAAAGGAGCAUAAGUUUUGCCUGAAAUAUCAAUCUUCACCUCUGAUAAACCUGAUGAAAAGCAAAUUAUUUUGGUACCUAAGAUGUAAGGACAGGCUCUCCAAGUCCCAGUUUCAUUUUUCUUGGCAGGAUUACCACGGCAGUCAACUGUCCCGUCCUUAGUAUACAAGUCAUCCUCUGCCAUAGCUUUCUGGAUACCAAUCCCUGCCACAAGAGUAGACUACUGCAAAGCUUUUGCAGCAGCAAAGCCAAGGCAGAACUCAAAGAUUACUUGAACCUGCAAAUUUGAUUGCAAGUAAUCAAAAUUUCUUCAGCUAAUUAGCAUAGUCCAAGUGGUGGUUAGAAGUCCCGCCUUUGUUGUUGGUACAACUGGCAAUAUAUUAGUAUUUAGUUUUUCAUACCAAAAAUUCUUAAGUAUAUGAACCAUUUAUAAAAAACAAAAGUCAUUAAUCUCCUGAACUGGGACUAUAUAGCAGCACCUAGACACACAGUAAUAGAAUAUUGAUGACAACUUAAGGUUUAUAAUUCUUUGAUUUAGUACGAUGUUACACUUCCCUUAGAACAAACUUUGUAUCUGUUUUUCUUUUUUUAAUUCAAUCUGCCAUUAAUUUGUGAGACCUCUUUUGCAGUACAUGAUAUCAUAGGCCCUUGUUUUUCUCAAGGAACCUCUUCCUAGUUAAAUACAAAUUCUAUACUCCAUUAUCCUCAACCUUAGAGAAAGCACGUUCCUUUCCAUUAACAUGUGGUACUAUGCAAAUUUUGAGCCUAAAUGUUGAUUCACUUCAUAAAUUUUUUAGAGUAAAUCUUUCCUACGUUGACGUAUACACUAUCAGCGUUGAAUUUAUGAUGUGUGCAAAAGUUGAAUUGCAAAUUCAAAUUUUGCAUAGUUAUCAUUCAUCCAACACUGACAGGUAGGAAAGAUUAAUCCAAUUUUUUAUUGAAAAACUUCAGAUCCCUCUCCAUACUCUUCUCCCUGAUCCCUCCUCUCUAUCUAUUCCUAACACUAGCCCUCUAUCCGCAAACUUCACUGACCUCUCUUUCCCCUACUCUGCAUCAUAAAAGCAAAAUAGUAGUAGUAUGUAUUUUCUGAUGGGCUAACCACUCUAAAACAAUCGAAUCCACUCAUUCAAUAGAUUCCGUAUUCGAAGCUCAAGUUAAGGCACAGAAGGUUCCAAUCAUGCAUCACAUAAGAACACUGAGAAUUAGCCAAUCAAGAAAUCAAAAGCCAUAAACAAAAAGAUUAGCUAAGAAUGAUGGCAAACAGAACGAAAAUCAAAAUACACACCUGAAGCUGGCGGGACUAGGCAGAGGAGAGCGUAUGCUCGGGGCAAUAAUCAGUCAGAUUUACGUAGCUGAGAAAAAGAGCCUUAGCCCAGAAAAGAUGAGGACAAGUGCGAAUAAGGUUGAUGAUUAAAAAUCAGUAAAACCCAAAGAUUGGACGUUUACUAGAAUGCAGAAUGAGAAUCAUGAGCGUCAACUUUUGGAGACAGUUGCGUCCUUGUCCCAACUCCAGUACUACUUGUGCUGAGCUACACAGUGACGGGAAUAGUCAACUGAAGCAUGGGGAGGAAAAGGAAUAGGAUGACUAGGGAAAAGCUACCCACUAGCAACAGCAUGCGCCCACAAAUGCUGGAAGAAUUUUCAGUUGUUUCAGGAUUCAUAUUUCCAAUUCAACGACUGAUACUGAAUUGGACUUGAAAGGUCCCUUGGGCCGGCGAGGCGGCUAUAGUACUGCUAGUGCCAGCUCACACUUUCCAUUAAUUGACCCUUUUACCCUUUACGGCGGUUUGGUCCAAAUGCUGCCACCUCCCUUCUCUUUUCUUUUCUUUUCAUUCUUUUUAGGUCGAGCGACUCUAGAUUUAUAUUUUGUUGUUGAGUUGAUCAAAUAUGUUUCAUAGAGCGUUUAAGAUUAGAUGUCCUCAAUUGGAUUUUAUUAGAGAGAUACAAUCAUGAAGAGAGAACGACUAGACAAUAAUAACGAGACAAUUGAUCUAUUUUUUUUUCGAGACUAAAUUAAAUUAACCAUUGUCAGCUAUUUCGAUGGAAUAGCUCCUACGUAACUGGUUUUGCAACGUCCAUGAAUUCUCUACUUCAUUUUUUUUUUUACUUGUAUCAGUGUCACGGAUUUGUUUCGGGAAAGAGAAGGAAGGGGGGGGCGGGGAGGGGGGAGGGAUAGAUUUGUCUUUAAAUAAGAUUGGAUUGAGAAGAUGACGUUAGCUCCAGCAAAAGAUGACAUUCCGCUGCCGGGAUUGUUAAGGAUUUGAUUAUCCUCAGUUGACUACAGCAGCCGCCAGCAGUUUGGAUUAAGGAUAAUAAUUGGAAAAAUGGUCAUCCAUUCAGACGGAGACGCUCAUCCAAUCCAAUUAUUAGUGUUUAAAAUUUACUCAAUUGUUUUGUGGGUUUUUUGCCCUAUUUUUUUUUUCCUACCAUAAAAUCACAAGAUAAUUCUUUUUUUAUUGUUGUGUUGAGUUGAUCAAAUAUAUUUCAUUGCACGCUCAAAAUUGGAUGUCCUCAAAUUAGAUUUUAUUGGAGAGAUAUAAAUAGUCAUGAAGUGGGAACGACCAGCAAAUAAUGACGAGACAUUUUUAUGGUCAUGGAUUUGUCUGCCCCAUACUUUAUUUUAAAGGGAUGUAUUUGUCUUUAAGUAAGAUGGGAUUGAGAAGAUGACGUUUGCUCCAGCAAAAGACAGAUUGAUAAGGAUUUGAUUAUUCUCAGUUGGCUGCAAAACUGAUAAUUGGAAAAAUGGU
rnacentral:lncRNA from 1 species